CGUAACAAGGUUUCCGUAGGUGAACCUGCGGAAGGAUCAUUAUAGAAUUAUUUAUUGGUUGUAGCUGGUCUUCGCAAGAUGACAAUGUGCACACCUUUAUUCAUCAAUCACACCCUGUGCACCUUUUGUAGACUUUGUUGUCUAUGUUUUUCAUAUACACACUCCAUAAAGUUUAGAAUGUUUUGGUUUUGGAAAUAAUUAAUACAACUUUCAACAAUGGAUCUCUUGGCUCUCGCAUCGAUGAAGAACGCAGCGAAACGCGAUAAGUAAUGUGAAUUGCAGAAUUCAGUGAAUCAUCGAAUCUUUGAACGCACCUUGCGCUCCUUGGUAUUCCGAGGAGCAUGCCUGUUUGAGUGUCAUUGAAUUAUCAAUCACUUUUUUCUUGGAGAAGAGGGAUUUGGAUUUGGAGUGUUGCUGGCCAUCAAAGUCAGCUCCUCUUAAAUGCAUUAGCGUGUACACUUUGUGGAAUAGGCUUUGGUUUGAUAAAAUAUCUAUGCCAUCGCCAUGAAGCAAAAAGUCAGCUACAAAUAAAAAUGAAACAUUUUGUACUCUUGACCUCAAAUCAGG
rnacentral:rRNA from 1 species